rnacentral:rRNA from 1 species
CAUAGCGACUAUCGUGGCAUAUCAAUAAGCGGAGGAAAAGAAACUAACAAGGAUUCCCCUAGUAACGGCGAGUGAAGCGGGAAGAGCUCAAAUUUGAAAUCUUCAAGGUUUGACCUUGACGAAUUGUAGUUUAAAGAAGUGUUUUCGGUUAGAGGAGUAGUAAAAGUUCUUUGGAAUAGGACAUCAUAGAGGGUGAGAAUCCCGUAUUUGACUAUUCUUUCUAGCUGUGUGAUACACUUUCAAAGAGUCGGAUUGUUUGGGAAUGCAGUCCAAAAUGGGUGGUAAAUUUCAUCUAAAGCUAAAUAUUGGCGAGAGACCGAUAGCGAACAAGUACCGUGAGGGAAAGAUGAAAAGAACUUUGAAAAGAGUGUUAAACAGUACGUGAAAUUGUCAAAAGGGAAGCGUUUGACACCAGUGUUGUUUUUCCGAAAAUCAAUUAAAAAUGAUGGGAUUUUGUGUUGUAUUGACUUUAUCAGCUUUCUGCACUUUUUUCUUAUCUUUUUUAACGCACUUUUCGUUUAACAAGUCAACAUCAAUUUCUUUUGUUGUAAAAGAGUCAUUGGAAGGUGGCUUUUUCUUCGGAAAAAGUGUUUAUAGCCUUUGGCUUCUGCAACCGGAGAGACUGAGGUCUGCAGCGUAGACUCUUCGGGGUUAGAUACAUUUGUGCUAAGCUAUAGCUUUUCAUAGACAACUUGUUGACUAUAUUUAGUCUUGUGGCUUACUCGCUUAUGCUAUUUUACCUACGCUUAGGAUGUUGAUAUGCAUGACUGAUAU